UGUGGCUCAGUGGUAGAGUGCUUGCCUCACAUGCAUGAAGUUGUGGGUUCAAUCCCCAGAACCA
rnacentral:tRNA from 1 species